CAAUAACUAGAGAAAUACCUGCUAUAAAUAAAGUAGCAAAGAACCAAGAGCUAAAACUAGCAUAUAAGAGAAAUGCUACCGUCUUCCAACGUUUACGAAACGACAAAAGAUCCUUAUCCACCAAAUCAAAGAGCCGGAAUCUAUGUUUUGCCCUUAUGCAAUGAAGAUCUUGAUAAGCAAGAAGAGUACAUAGCCCUAACCCCAAGGAACCUAAAAGAUAGAAUCCAAGAACACAAAGCCGACAUAAAAAACGGGAAUCUUAAGAAGAGCGUUAGCAGAAAGGUCAUACGAACAUAAUAUACAAAUCAAAUGGGAAGACGCAAGAAUCUUAAAAUCUUG
rnacentral:lncRNA from 1 species